UUAUUGAAUUGUUAUUGUCUUAAAUGAUAAUUCCUGGCAAUUUAGAAAGUAAUUGACAGCUAGAGUAGUUGGUUUGUCAUAUUAAAAAAUGAAGGUGUAGUCAGUCAUUUAUCUCCCAAUUGACAUUUUAGAUACACCUGUGUGGUCUUGAUGCAGUUCUAUUCCAUGGGUAAGGCACAUUCCCUUAGGUACCUUUCACAUUAGUCCCAGAAGGAUGGAAUCUGAUUUGAUAUCAGUGAUGUCAUCAUUCUAUCUGUUAUAAUGAUGUGUGUAAGAAAUUGUUAUCAGAAGAGUGUUAUUUUCUUAACAUUAGCUAGGAUGUGGUGCUCUGCUCAUAACUGGCAUAAGGCUGUGCAGACAUAAGCUUGAUUAUACUUUAAGAGGUCCUAGGUUCCAUGUACUUUUUUUUUUUUGGAUUCAGUCUAAUAAAGUGGAAAAAAAACAAAGCUAGCACAGUAAUGAAUAUUACUGCACAAACAUACUCAUCAAUAAAAAAUUGACAUUCUGUUAAUGUAGCAUUGUCCUGGUAUUGGUUUUGUGACUUUUUUUGUAGCAGAUCACUUAUUACAAAGGCAAACAGAUAACAUGAUAAUACACUCAGCUUCUCAUUGUUAUGACACUUAUUGUGUAGGGGAAUAUAGCUCAUAAGUUUCAUGUACUCUUCUGAUUGGAAUGAAUGAUGGGUAGAAAUUGCUCUUGAAAAACAAUUCCCUUUUCAAUAACAACCAGGGAUAGAAUAUGGGCAUCAAUAAUAUCUCUGCUGAGCAGGCACACAUUGAAAUUAUGCUGCCAGUAUAGAUUAAUCAGUUGAACCUUAUGCUGGUUAGGUAGAAACAGUGCUCUAUAUGAUCUGAAGGAAACCGUCCCACUCACUGUGAUAAUAGAGUCAAGGUACCAGGCAGUACUAGCAGGACUAGCAGCUUGAAUGCAGGUGU